rnacentral:rRNA from 1 species
AAGUUUCCUUCGGGGAACGGAUUAGCGGCGGACGGGUGAGUAACACGUGGGUAACCUGCCUCAUAGAGGGGAAUAGCCUUCCGAAAGGAAGAUUAAUACCGCAUAAGAUUGUAAUGCCGCAUGGCAUAGCAAUUAAAGGAGCAAUCCGCUAUGAGAUGGACCCGCGUCGCAUUAGCUAGUUGGUGAGGUAACGGCUCACCAAGGCGACGAUGCGUAGCCGACCUGAGAGGGUGAUCGGCCACAUUGGGACUGAGACACGGCCCAGACUCC